rnacentral:misc_RNA from 1 species
CAAAAACAAACAUCACAAGAAUAUAUCUAUGGGUUUAUCACUUCAAAAUAAAUAAUAACAAUAAAAAGAUAUCCCCAUGAGCUUUAACAAUGUAAAAGAACCCUCCACCCCCUCUUUUUCCAAUGAAUUUUUUGAGGAGGGACAUUACUUCUGUUCAUUUUUUUAAGGCUGUAUUCUUACAAAUAGGACACACAUUCUUCAGCCUUAGCCACUGCUUUAUGCAACUACUAUGGAAUUCAUGUCCACAAUCCAAUAUGCCCAUGUAAUCUCCACUUGUGUAUUCCUCCCGACAUAUACAGCAAGGCUCCGUAUUUGACGAUGACCCUCCAUAGACUGGCUCAUGCUUUCGCUCUUUCAUACGUCCCAAAAUGGUUUCUUCACUCAAUCCGG